AGUAAGCCUCUGCCACUCAUGCAACUAGCACUUUUUAAACAUGAAACAGGCCAGUUUAUACAAGCACACCAAGCAAUACAUGUUUAUACAAGCACACCAAUCAAUACAUGUUUAUACAAGCACACCAAUCAAUACAUGUUUAUACAAGCACACCAAUCAAUACAUGUUUCUCCACAUAUUUAUCUCCUCCAUUGUGGUUAUUGUAUAUGUAUACUUGUUGCAACAUAACCUUAUUUUCUUGUCAAUGAUUUCAU
rnacentral:lncRNA from 1 species